ACCGUUUCCCAUUCAUUUCCAAUGGUAGUCCUAAACCACUACGGAUGUAAUAUAUUUUUGACCACUACUCCGUGGAGGCGCUGUCCAAUCUUAUAUCCAGGAGUGACACAGCCCUCUCCUUGCUUGGAUUCAGAAGAAGACAACUUUCCGGCCUUUAAACUGAAAUCUUUAGGAGAACUUACCAGCGUUAAGCAGAGAGAAGAAAAAAUAUCAAAGAAAUCGAUCUUCACAUCCAUCCUUCUUAAUUUUAAUAGGUCAAACUGCAGAAGACCAUUUUUUAUCCAGGGAAACCAAGUGUGGUUUUCCACAAGGGGCCCCUUGGCUUCCUUCUUCAGGAUCCCUCUCCUGAGGCAAAGAAGAUCAAAAAUAAUCCCAGUCUGAGCCUAAGAGAGAGGAUGUUGUGCAGCAGAAUGCUAUGACUGUGGUCCGGGAAAGAGGAGGGGAUGUCACAGACGCGUCAGAAGUCCUGGGAGAUUACAGCCUCCAAUUUGGAAAGUACAAAGGGAAGUGUUUCCGAUGGCUCUUAGAAAAUGAUGCAGGUUACACUUUGUACCUCAUCAGAAACCUUCAGAAGCAGGAGGAAGCUGGAAUCUGCAUCACUGAGAGCCUUAGCAAAGUAAACCACCUAACCUUUGUGAAAUAUGCUCUCAGUUUUAAAGAGAUUAAAGAUGCCCUGGACUAUGAAGCUAGCAGAGACAAUGUUACAGCAGCCUCUUCUGAAGAUGACCAGCUGGUUGGUUUUGGCUCUCGGGCCAAGAGCACUUGGAGGGAAAUUUGGGACGGUAGAAAAGAUGGUUAUGCUGCUUUCAUAGUGAAGAAGAGCUGUCUUCCUGGGACCAGGAUGAAGAAGCUGCACCAGUACCUGCUCAACAGACAACAGUCCUCCUUCAGUCAAACCAACACACCAUCCAGUGAACCAGAUAAAUGUCUGGGUGAGCAACUAUGAAUGUUGCAUUAAAAAUGUUAAGAUGACAGGGCAAAUACUGCCUUAAUUUUUUUAAAAUGCAAUAUUAAAUAUCUGUUUGUUGCAUAGGUAACACUAUCCGGAUGCUAUUCACAACUUCCUUAUCUGUUGUCUUAAAAUUAUAAUGAAGCCACAGAGAAAUAACAGAAUAACACUUCUUUUCAGAUUCUAGUACAAGUGCAGCUUCAACCUCCUUUUCUUUGCAGACAGUGCUGAAGACGCUUCCUCAGCUCAGCCACCCUUUGAUGUGCCCUUGCUUCAACAUGACAUGAACAGCUGGAACUGUUCUCAGCACCAGAAACUGUGGAUGAGGACAGAGCUGCAAGAUCUUGGCCUGUGACCUGGGUCUCGUCCUGUGCAAAAUGUUGGAAAUGCAAUUUCCCUCUGGCAUCAUCCUCCGCAGCCUGAGCUCAUAGACACAGUGGCUGAGCUCCCAUUUGAGCUUCACCAAUUCUUUAUUUGGAAACCUGAAAAUUAAAUCAUGUCAAGGCUGAAAAAUAACUAGAACCUCCCAUGUCUUCAUGGAUGUCCUCAACCACAAGUUGUUUCCGCUGGUGUGGGCCGACCUCAGGUGAUUGUUGGGACUAGUGGGCAAUAUUGCAUCCUGUCCUCUAGACUUUGCUGUUAGUCUUGUCGGAAGACCUGAUUUGUUGACAGUCCUCGUUGGCUGGAGAAGCAGCCCAGAAGAUUCACCAACCUGCUGCCUGCAUUUCUUACUUACAAGAAGGCCAUCUGUAAAUCAGUCAUGGAUGAACUCCAGACGCACUGGAAAGUCACCUGCAGAUAUGCCCAAGCAAGUGAAUGAGCUCAUGCAUCUCAAACAUGAACGAGCUCAUUUAGCUUAUCUACAGGCCACUGAGAGCAUCUGGGAUGCAGAGGCUGGGGUACAGGGACAGAGGACCAUUGGGUAGUUCUUCAGGAAAAGCCACACACCAUAUCCAUUCAGCUCCUACGAAGAUCCAAAUGACUGGUGUGGCAUCUCUGUGUCCGCCUUCUACCUCACAAACUGUUUGCUAGAGGAGUACAGACCUCAAGAGCCAGCUUUGUCAAGACUCCUCCAAGGGUCUUCA